rnacentral:rRNA from 1 species
CUUAAAUGAAUUGACGGGACCCGCACAAGCGGUGGAUGAUGUGGUUUAAUUCGAUGCAACGCGAAAACCUUACCCACCUUUGACAUGUACGGAAUCCUUUAGAGAUAGAGGAGUGCUCGAAAGAGAGCCGUAACACAGGUGCUGCAUGGCUGUCGUCAGCUCGUGUCGUGAGAUGUUGGGUUAAGUCCCAUAACGAGCGCAACCCUUACCGUUAGUUACCAUCAGGUUAAGCUGGGGACUCUAGCGGGACUGCCACCGUAAGGUGAGAGGAAGGUGGGGAUGACGUCAAAUCAGCACGGCCCUUAUGUCCAGGGCUACACACGUGUUACAAUGGCCAGUACAAAGGGCAGCUACCGGGUGACCGGAUGCUAAUCUCUAAAGCUGGUCUCAGUUCGGAUCGAAGUCUGCAACCCGACUUCGUGAAGCUGGAUUCGCUAGUAAUCGCGCAUCAGCCAUGGCGCGGUGAAUACGUUCCCGGGCCUU